rnacentral:lncRNA from 1 species
CCCACACUAGAUCCGUAUCCACAGCCCCAUUUACCUAAUCGGGCCGCUAGCGCGCGGCUUUCCCGAGAUUCGUCAGGGCUUAGCUGGAACUUUGUUCCUUAAUCAGACAGACCAUCACGGACACCUAUCAAUCUUUUGUUUUUUUUUUUCACUCCGUGGCUGUUUUCUUUUCUUUUCUUUUCCCUUUUCUUUUCUACUUCCCAUUUUUCCUUUCCCCCCUUUUUCUUCCUAGUAUCAGAUUAAUUAGACUCCGGGUAUAUCGUAUUGCGGACUCCGGAGGCAAUACUCACAGGGAAAAUACGAGGUUUCCACUAAAGACUUGAUCCUAUGUAUCCUAGUGGCUCCUCUUCCAUCUCUAUCUAUCACAUAUUGCUCGAAUAUUCCUAGCACUGGAGUGUCCUGACUCCUGAGCCCCUCCCCCCACACUACCUUACCACCUGUCAUAAUCCUAUGGAUCCCACGUCCGUGGUAGAUUUUCCAAAGUUUGUGUCGAGCCAAACCACACAACCACACCGCACAGAACGUGGCUUUUCCAAGUGGCGUCGCUAGCAAGUAACACGACCACACACUCGUUUUUGGACCGAAAACCCGGCAGUAGUAUUUACUCACGUACUUAGCUGCAGAUCAGUCAGUCAAAACAAAGAUAGCGAGGAUCAUGUCAGCCAUGGAUACCCGACGCUUAUUUGACAGCGUCGACACCGCCGCUUCGUGGUUCGUGCCAAUGAUGCUUGAGAUUUACCAUGGCGACGGGUAAAUUGAGAACACAUUGUUGGUAGAGGUUCUAGUUUGCCUUGUUAGGGUUGCACGACAAACAUAUUCUUCAGACCUUCGUCCUACCGGUUCUCCUCUCAUAUUAGCCAGAGUGAUCUCAGCACUUUUCUCGGGGAGAAUUUUACAAUGUAACAGGCUUUCAUGCUUGAGAAUGAACAUGAACAAUGACUUUCAUAUUUGGACAUCUGCAGGCUAGAACAACAAGGCUAUUCUUCAGCUCAUCGUGAUUAUUUCUUAAUAUCCCUCCAACCCCGGCAUUUAAGAUGGGAACUAUUAUUGACGAUCCCGCAAAUAGACUUGCUGCAGAUCCGCACUGAUCAAGCUAAGCACCCAGCACCGAUCAGCCAAACGAGCACUGCUGCACAUGACAGUGGUUGCUCUAAAACUAACGCGGGUGCCGACAGAUAACCGUCUGCCUGGGAUGUUAUGGGCUUCCGCUGGCCCAUACUCACUUCUUCUCUGGCAAGUUAACAAUGAGAUUGAACGUAGACAAGCGGACCGUGGGCAGAUAGAAUGGCCAAGAAAUAUAAUACACAAAUGCUUAAUAGAAGAACACCAAGACAGAAUUCUUCUUGAUUAGUGGUAUGGAUGAAACUUGCAUUGCAGGUGGAUCUGAAUGUGGCUGGCGUAAACACUUCUGCUGGCGUGAUCCUCAGUCGGCGUUAUUCGAAUG